CGGAACAGUGACGGACUGAAGGAGCAGAAGAUCCGCAUUUUUUUUUUCCUCUUUUUUUCAGAUCCAUGAUGUCACCACACCUUACGUCAGCAAGACACUUCUGGAAACGGCAGAACUGGCAUCGGUUUCUCCUCCUCUUAUCCACCGGGCAGUCUUUAUUGGUUCGGACUCCAUAGUGCUGACAGGAUGCGUUGUCGCCACACACUGCACAGCGACCCUCACUGGAUCCAAGGCUGGGGGUUUUCUG